CUCUGCUCUCCCUCUGCCCACCCGGGGACGUGGGACCCAUCGCGCCCCCAUCACCGCACAGCCACUCGUGGGGGUGUCCCGUGCCCCCCUCCCGGCCGUGUUACCGGAGCGAUGCAAACAAACAGCGCCGAGCUGGAGGGCUGCCCGGCGUCCCAGUCUGGCGUGGGACGGAGCGCCUUUGAAGCGCCAGAAGGAUGGGAUGCAUCAGCCAGAGGCGGGCUGCGAGAGCUGCACGGCAACAGCGAGCAUUGGGGGGGGAGAUGCUGGAAGCCCUCCUCGCCCCGUUCCCAUGCAGCCGGGGGCCCCCCUCCCCUCCUGGCCCGGGGUUUCUCAGCCCCACGCCUUUCCCAUCUAUGAGAAACCAGGCGAGGAGCUGUGUUUAUAGAGCAAAUAACGGCGCGCCUGCCUCUAUUUAUAGCUGGGUGCUGUAUGGGGCAGCUGCCCCCCCCCCGCCUUCCCCCCCCGGGAGGCAUCACAGCCACCUCGGCCCCAUGGCCCAGCGGAAGCGACCCCUCUCCCAGAGGUCCCUGCAUGAGAGGAAAGCAUACGGAUGGGGAUAUCGCCCCAUAGAGCGCUCCUGGCCGGAGGGAGGGGAUGCAGCAAAACGCCCUGGCUGUGGAAGUGCCCCAAAUAGCCAGCGGUGCCCAUGCGGUUUCCCCCUGGCUGCCCACAGGAGGUGUGCAUGGCAGUGUGAGUAAGGGAGGAAAACAACCCUCAGAAAAACAAGGUUUGGGCAAAAAGCAGCCCGGGAUGCUCCCGUCCCGCACUGACUCACGGCCCAUAAAGGCUCCUUUAAUAGCUGUGAGUCACAGCACGGGGCACGCUGAUGGAUGAAGAUUGCCUUCAUCCCCCUUGGCUCGCAGCACAUGAUGGCACUGAUGCCGUGCCACCGGGCGGUUCCCCCAUGCCAUUCUGUGCUGCCAGCCAUUUUUAGCAGCACUCUCUUUCCCUGGCAUGCUUUCUGUCUGUCUGUCUGUCUGCCAGGAGCGACCGUUGGGCACACCAUGAGCUGGGCCAAGAGUGGGACAUAUGGCUUUGUCACAGGGCUGCGGGUAGAGCUCAGGGAGCAGAGGCACAGCCCAACAUCCACCUGCCCAAAAGCAGCCGGGCAGUGAGCGCCCUAUCUGAGGUCACUUUCUCCAAGUGCUGCAUGCCAACAGAAAGCUUUGUUCCUUUGACAACCUCCUCAUGUGAAACACCCAUGGCCAUGCUCAUGGCUGUACCCAUGGCUGUAACCAUGGCUGUAUCCAUGGCUGUACCCACGGCCAUGCCCAUGGCUGUACACAUGGCUGUACCCCUGGCUGUAACCAUAGCUGUACCCAUGACCAUGCCCAUGGCUGUACCAGGCUGUACCCAUGACCAUGCCCAUGGCUGUACCCAUGGCUGUAUCCAUGGCUGUACCCACGGCCAUGCCCAUGGCUGCACCCAUGGCUGUGCCUAUGGCUGUGCCUUUGGUCAUGUCAAUGGCAGUGCCCAUGGCUGUGCCUAUACCUAUGCCUGGCUGUGCCCAUGACCGUGCCCAUAGCUGUGCCCGGCUGUACCCAUGGCUGUACCCACAGCUGCACUCAUGGCCGUGCUGAUAGCUGUGCCCAUGGCCGUGCUGAUAGCUAUGCCUAUGGCCGUGCCCAGAGCCCAGUUUAGGCACACAUUCCCACCCAGCACCCAGUGAGCUGCAUUCCCGCGCUGCCCGCACCCUAAUGUUUGCUCCUCGGGGCCGAGCUUAACCCCAAGUUGUGAUCCUCGAGGAAUGUGCUUAUUAUAUAUCUGCCUGCAGCCCUCUGUUGCUAAAUAUAAGAGUGAGAGGAGAAUUUUCCUCCUCAUUCCCACGACACCGGUUCGCAUUCCCCCCCGGCAGACUUUUUCCUGCUCUUUCCCAUCAGCUGGAAACUUUUCCAGCUGCUCCAAGCGCUGACCUCAGAACAUGUGGGGCCUUCGGUACAAGAGGUUCGGAACAAGGAGAGCCUGGGACUCCGAGAGGCUCUGGGGUGACACCCGUGGGCACAGGAUGGGAUGUCCCCGUGGGCACAGCAGGGUGACAGCGCCGAUGGGGACACGGGGCACUUUGCCCUUUGCAAUACAUGGCUGCUGCACACACGCUGCCCGUUUUGGGCUGGGCACAGUGGGAAAUCAGUGUAAAACCUCUUCCCUUCCCAGCCCUGAGGUCUGUGCUGUCCCACUAUCCCCACCGCCACGCCCUGCCCUCGGUUAGCACUCCGGGGGCAUUCUGCAGGCUUUGCUGUGCCCAUGGAAGCCUCCUCCCGGCCCAAGCCUGGCAGCAGCCACUCAUAGACUCUGGGAUGCAGUGGGGCAACGUUUGCACCUCCGGAGGUAGCGCAGCACUGAUCCCACUCAUGAGGUGGGAGCGCCGUCCGGGACCCAAAGGUCAGCGCUGGAGGGAAGAAGAGCACUCUGUUCAUUGACAAAGGGAAAUUUUCCACUUCGCUUGCCAGGCGCUGUGAUAUUUUGGUGCACGGAGGAAAGAAGGAACAAGCCCGGAGGGAGAAGAGCGUGCCCUGGGACGCCACCUGCUCAGCCCUGCACAGCAUCCCACACGUGCCCGUCCCACCCGCUGCCCUGUGAAGCCUCCAGCAGGACGCAGGACAGCCGCAAGCACCCUGCCCAAAGCAAGCAGCUCCUCGGGCACCUAAGGGUGCUCAUGCCACCCGCGCUGGGUGCCCUCCCACUGCCAGCCCUGUCGCCUCCAGAGCACAGAGUCCCGCAGCGGGCGUUGGGAUGGGGCUUACCUGCAGCUGAGGGUCCCGCGUGGAAGGCAGGGGGCUGCUGGGCCAGCAGCAGCAGCAGCAGCAGCAGUGCGUGGGGACCACGUCGGGGUGCCAUGGUGCUCCCGGCCGGAGCUCUGCGCCCGCUCCCGCUCCCAACCGACGGCGGCUCCACUACUAUAUUUAAUAAAGUGCAGCGAGGGAGGGACCGGCGGCUUCUCCCG
ensembl:lncRNA